GUCUAUACUUGAAGUUAUGUAUAGUCUAGCCUGCCCAUUGAAUAUUUAAAAGGCCGCGGUAUUUUGACCGUGCAAAGGUAGCAUAAUAAUUAGUUUUUUAAUUGAAAGCUUGUAUGAAAGGUUGGACAAAGAAUAAUCUGUUUCUAAUUUUAAUUUUUAACUUUAUUUUUAAGUGAAAAAGCUUAAAUACUCUUAAAAGACGAUAAGACCCUAUAAAUCUUUAUAAAAUUUAUUUUUUAUAGCGCAUAUAACAGUAUAUUAUUUAUUAAAAAUUAAAUAUAUUAUGUUGGGGCGACAAGAAUAUUUCACAAGAAACUGUUCUAAUUUUUAAACAAAUUUUAUUUGAUUUUAAAGCUAAUAGACCCUUAUUUUAAGAUUAAAAGUUUAAGUUACUUUAGGGAUAACAGCGUAAUUUUUUUUAAGAGUUCUUAUCGAAAAAAAAGUUUGCGACCUCGAUGUUGAAUUAAAAUUUCUUUGUAAGGUGCAGAAGCCAUAAAAGUAAGUCUGUUCGACUUUUAAAAUUUU
rnacentral:rRNA from 1 species